ensembl:lncRNA
GUGAAACCCAAGGUAAUGUGUGAUAAAGAUAGUGCUGCUGGCUGGUAUGGGGGCAGAGCAGGGAACAUUCCUCCCACUUACUGCCGCUAGUCGCUCUGAGGACAAAGAAUCAAAUGGGUCAGGCUGGAGAAACCAGGAUCUGUCGCUGCCGGAAACGUUAUAGCUCCUGCUACAAACGUUACUGUAGGCCACAGACAUAUCCAGAGCUCAUCCGAAGUCCCGUUUUAUUGUUGACGUUUGUUGCGGAUACAAUUUGUAGUUUUUCCUCUUCUGAGAAUGAAGAUGGUUAUUUCACAUUGUCGAAGGUUUGCGCCGCAGUUUUAAAGGGACGGAGGCAAGGCGCUCUCUUCCUCCUCCUCGGACAGACGAGGAAGAGCCUGGAAACCGCUUGGGAAUGUAAAACAUACUCCGAGUCAAUGUUCUCAACGUGGCUCUCUGGAUGAUGUAUCCUCUGGGACCUCGUUUCAAUGGUGCACUUGUCUGUUGUGGAUGUUAAUGUUUCCUGAACCAACGACCUAUAGCCGAGAAGAGCAUCGGUUUCCAACAGUGUGCCAGUUAUCAUCCGUCUAUUCUCAUCUAGAGACAACUACUACUUGGUUGAAAUGAAUGGGCCACAAUACAAACUGCGUAUGUGUCUAAUCAACAGAAAACGCUUGUAGGAAUCUUAGCCUACUUCCGACCACCGGUUAUUAGGUUACUUUGACCAGCACACAGACAAGAACUCCUUAACAGAUCCUGUAGUAGUCAUGGUAAUCCCAGAUCUCCUUAACAGAUCAUGUAGUAGUCAUGGUAACCCCAGACCUCCUUAACAGAUCCUGUAGUAGUCAUGGUAACCCCAGACCUCCUUAACAGAUCCUGUAGUAGUCAUGGUAAUCCCAGACUUCCUUAACAAAUCCUGUAGUAGUCAUGGUAAUCCCAGACCUCCUUAACAGAUCCUGUAGUAGUCAUGGUAAUCCCAGACCUCCUUAACAGAUCCUGUAGUAGUCAUGGUAACCCCAGACCUCCUUAACAGAUCCUGUAGUAGUCAUGGUUUUUCCCAGUGAUCAGAUAGCAGCAGAGCUGGAGGAGAUAACACCAGGAGGACUGAUACUGUUCCUUCUUCAGGAAACAAGGAGGGAGCAAAGUUCUGCUGGGAGGAGAGACGUGGACUGAGAGACGAGUGAGAGACGUGGACUGAGGGAAGAGAGAGUGAGAGAGACGUGGACUGAGGGAAGAGAGAGCGAGAGAGAGGUGGACUGAGGGAAGAAAGAGUGAGAGAGACGUGGACUGAGAGAAGAGAGCGAGACCUGGGCUGAGAGAAGAGAGAGGGAGA